UCCAACGUUGCUGGAACACCAAGCGCAGGGCAGGGAGUGGAGGGCGUUCAGGCUGGAGCGCUGGGCCUAGCAAGGUGCAGCAGGCAGCAAGCCCGCGCAGUUCUCGCUGACCCGGUACCGGGAGGGCCGCUUACGCAAUUCGCGAGUGAACGAAUCUGGGCGCCCGCCCGCGGAGAGGCUGUCAGUGACGGUCCCGGUGGACUUGGAAGACUGCAUAGAUGCCUCUCUGCUGCCACACAGCAGGGGAGACUGUCCUGGGACCAUUUGCACAAAAUCAAGUUCAAGUUGCAGGAGCUGGCGGCACCCAUUGGUAGGCACUGGUUGUGACUCUCCAGUAUUUCCCUAUAGAACCAAUAGGAUGAUCCUGGUUUUCGGAACGAAACAGAGUGUUCAAAACUUGCAUCCUAGAAAAUCCGAGAUACUGGUGAGUUUGGCUACAAUUAUUGUAAAAUAAAAAACAUUUUAUGUUUGGCA